rnacentral:rRNA from 1 species
GACGAACGCUGGCGGCGCGCCUAAUACAUGCAAGUAGAACGCUGAAGGAGGAGCUUGCUCUUCUGGAUGAGUUGCGAACGGGUGAGUAACGCGUAGGUAACCUGCCUGGUAGCGGGGGAUAACUAUUGGAAACGAUAGCUAAUACCGCAUAACAGUAGAUGUUGCAUGACAUUUGCUUAAAAGGUGCAAUUGCAUCACUACCAGAUGGACCUGCGUUGUAUUAGCUAGUUGGUGGGGUAACGGCUCACCAAGGCGACGAUACAUAGCCGACCUGAGAGGGUGAUCGGCCAAACUGGGAAUGAGACACGGCCCAGACUCCUACGGGAGGCAGCAGUAGGGAAUCUUCGGCAAUGGACGGAAGUCUGACCGAGCAACGCCGCGUGAGUGAAGAAGGUUUUCGGAUCGUAAAGCUCUGUUGUAAGAGAAGAACGAGUGUGAGAGUGGAAAGUUCACACUGUGACGGUAUCUUACCAGAAAGGGACGGCUAACUACGUG